ensembl:misc_RNA Metazoa_SRP Metazoan signal recognition particle RNA
GCCGGGUGUGGUGGCGGGCACCUGUAGUCCCAGCUACUUGGGAGGCUGAGACAGGAGAAUUGCUUGAAUCCAGGAGGCAGAGGUUGCAGUGAGCCGAGAUUGCGCCACUGCACUCCAGCCUGGGUGACACAGCGAGACUCUGUCUCAA